AUCCUCAAGGUAGCACACACACACUGCUACAUCAUCCUCAAGGUAGCACACACACACACUGCUACAUCAUCCUCAAGGUAGCACACACACACUGCUACAUCAUCCUCAAGGUAGCACACACACACUGCUACAUCAUCCUCAAGGUAACACACACACACACACACACACACACUGCUACAUCAUCCUCAAGGUAACACACACACACACACACACACACACACACACACACACACACACACACUGUUACAUCAUCCUCAAGGUAACACACACACACACACACUGUUACAUCAUCCUCAAGGUAACACACACACACACACACUGCUACAUCAUCCUCAAGGUAGCACACACACACACUGCUACAUCAUCCUCAAGGUAGCACACACACACACUGCUACAUCAUCCUCAAGUUAACACACACACACACACACACUGCUACAUCAUCCUCAAGUUAACACACACACACACUGCUACAUCAUCCUCAAGUUAACACACACACACACUGCUACAUAAUCCUCAAGGUAGCACACACACACACACUGCUACAUCAUCCUCAAGGUAGCACACACACACACACUGCUACAUCAUCCUCAAGUUAACACACACACACACACACACUGCUACAUCAU
ensembl:lncRNA